UAAAAGAGAAGUAGUAGCACUCAUCUGGAUCAGACCUAAAUCCUAAACCGGCAGCCGCAAAUGAAGAUGUCAGAAACCCUAAUGAAGCUCAUAGAUGUUUUCUGCGAUGAGGUGAUGUGCUGGGCGAAUUUGCCUUCUCAAUCAAAGCAAAGGGGCACAGCUUCUUUUCACGUUGACACAACAAAGGCCCUUAAAACGUGAAAAGAAGUUUUGCACCUUUCAUUUGCAAGUUUUUGGAGCGCAAAUUCGUCCAACACAUCAUCUGCAUCGUAGCCGAUAUCUGCAGAUUCUUGUUGGUUUGUGUGAAAUUUGAGGAGCUUGCUGGUGAUUUGUGAAGCAAGAAGUAGAACAAAACACCUUUUCUGAAAGUAGUUUACCAAAAUGAUGGCCUUUUGGGACUCAGUAUAUGAAAGCCAGAAUGGUUUCUACCAAUUAUUGGACAGGGUCUUGAAAUGAGCUUGUGUAAAACAUGUUGGAGACUCCAAUGGCCUAGUUUGGAACUUACCGACGUUGUAUCCCAUCAUGUACAAAAAAGCAGUAGUCUGGAACUGUGUAUAUCAUUAUAUGAAUUGUAAAGUUUCACAGCCAAAAUUUACUAUUGCAAUGUCAUUUUGCACUGAAUCAAACUUCUUGUUCACACCUUGGUUGGAUUGAAAUUUACUGUUGGAUAAGAACAUUCUCUAGAUAUUGAAAGACAAAUCAAAAUUGUAGAACUCGAAAUGCAGGAAAUACAUUUUCUGUGGGAGCCGUUUUUGUUUUAUUUGCAGGA